rnacentral:rRNA from 1 species
CCCAUCACCGAAGUCUAUUCACGUUUGUGGACAGGACAAUGUGGUGUUCGGGUGUGUACCUGGGAGUGCUUGCCUACUCGAAGUCCAACUCCGAUUAUGGCUAGGACCAGGCCCAGAGCGGGUGUAAGGCCCGUGCGGGUAGGUUAGUGAUGUUUGAAGCACUCUCAGAUGUACAUGCUCUCGAGUCGGAUUGCUUGAGAAUGCAGUCCAAAGUGGGUGGUAAACUCCAUCCAAGGCUAAAUACUGGCACGAGUCCGAUAGUAGACAAGUACCGUGAGGGAAAGUUGAAAAGUACUCUGAAGAGAGAGUAAAUAGCACGUGAAGCCGCUUGCAGGGAAGCUGGUGGAGUCAAGCUUCUUGUUCAGAGGAUUGUCAUCAUGGACCAUUGCUGUUGUUUGGAGCGUGAUAGUGGUGAGCCUGGAAAGGGUUUGGCGUGCUUCGGUGCGUUUCAAGUCAUUCCGGGAUGGAUGUUUGUGCCGCUAUCUAUCCUCCUGGUCCUGGUGCUUUAUUCUCUGUGACAUACAU